rfam:Merops nubicus contig42737, whole genome shotgun sequence.
UCCUCGUUAGUAUAGUGGUGAGUAGCCCCGCCUGUCACGCGGGAGACCGGGGUUCGAUUCCCCGACGGGGAG